rnacentral:lncRNA from 1 species
GGGUGUGACCUCUUAUAUCUAAUUAGCUUUAUCAACCCUUUCCCCAUACCCAUUCAGAGGGAAAAAAAAAAAAAAAAACUUUUAAUGAUAAAAACAUCAUUCGCUUUGCUUAAAAAUAGCAACAGUCACACACAAAAAAAUUAAAUAAAUAUUUUCCAUAGUCUAUUGACUGCUGUCAUGUAGGUCUGAGCCCCAUCACCUUUCUUCCCUGAGCAUCCCAGGUGAUUUGAUGCCGUGUUCUUGCAAACUGCACUUUGAUAUGUCUUUGGAACAGUUCUGCCCUCCUACAUGGAGGUUUUUCCUCUUCCAGCUGACCAUAUGGUGGCUGUUUGGCUAGCCUGCUGCUGUCCGUCCUCUGCACAUGGCCAUUAAAGCAGUGCUCUUGCAAAGGAAAACAGUCUGUGGGAUUUCUUCUGUUUCCCGGUUCCAGAUCCAAUGAACUCCUUUCUCCAAUCUUGUACCAACACUGGGAGCUGGCUGCCAAGAGAAUGGAAGAAGAGAAGGGAAUGGUGUCAAGCCUUGACAAGCACAGUGUGUGGCUGCCAUUAAGAGAAAAUGUGUCAUGCAACCAGCUAUUCUAAGCACCAGUGACUGGCAAAAGGAGGAUGGAGUGGUGGUGUCCUCACGGUAGGCUUACCGGCGCUUGGGGGCAAAUGGGGAAGUCCAGGGCAUAAACUGUGGUCCUGGAAAAACUUGUGUGAAUAUGAAGAAGUCCUGGAGGGACGAUAGGCAUAACGUAAGAGGCAGCAGUGGUAAGUAUACAGCUGUUAUCUGCAGAAGCUUAUGAUUUUCUCUUUGUUGAAAGUAAAUCCAUGUCAAACAUUGUUCUAGGCAAUUCAUAUAGAUUACUUCACUUAAUCCUCAUGACAAUGCAAUAAGGUCAGUAUUAUUAUGCUCUUUAUAUUACAAAUGAGGACUCCAAAAAAAAAAAAAAACAUGAAUAAGCAAGUAAUUUGCCCAAGUUAUACAAAUAACAUAUUGCUGAGGUAGGAUUUGAUUUGAACCCAACAAAUCAAACUCUGGAACCCAAUAUCAUAUUUUAGGUAUAAUUUAUAUACAGUAAGAGGGCCUUGUUUGGUUUAUAAUUCUAUGAGUUUUGGUACAUGUACCCAACCUUGUAACUGCUACCUACUCAAGAUGUAGAACAGUUUUAUCAUUUUCCCUAAUCUCCUUAUGAAUGCCCUUUUCUAAUCAGUCCCCUCCCCUUUUCCCAGUCCCUGGAAAUCACUGAUCUGUCUGUUUUCUUUAUAGUUUUCACUUUUCCAGAAUGUCCUAUCAAUGGAAUAAUAAAGCAUGAAGGCUCUUGAGU